rnacentral:rRNA from 1 species
GACGAACGCUGGCGGCGUGCUUAACACAUGCAAGUCGAACGGAAAGGCCCUGCUUUUGUGGGGUUCUCGAGUGGCGAACGGGUGAGUAACACGUGAGUAACCUGCCCUAGACUUUGGGAUAACUUCAGGAAACGGGGGCUAAUACCGGAUAGGAGAUCCUGCUGCGUGGUGGGGGUUGGAUAGUCUCGGCGGGCGGGGUUGGACUCGCGGCUUAUCAGCUAGUUGGUGGGGGGGUGGCUUACCCAGGCUGUGACGGGUAGGCGGCCGGAGAGGGUGGCCGGGCACAUUGGGACUGAGGGACGGCCCAGACUCCUACGGGAGGCAGUAGUGGGGAAUAUGGCACAAUGGGCGGAAGCCUGAUGCAGAGACGCCCGGUUCGGGAUGACGGCCUUCGGGGUAUAAACAGCUUUCGCCUGUGACGAAGCGUGAGUGACGGUAAUGGGUAAAGAAGCACCGGCUAACUACGUG